rnacentral:rRNA from 1 species
GAUGAACGCUGGCGGCGUGCCUAAUACAUGCAAGUCGAGCGAACAGACGAGGAGCUUGCUCCUCUGACGUUAGCGGCGGACGGGUGAGUAACACGUGGAUAACCUACCUAUAAGACUGGGAUAACUUCGGGAAACCGGAGCUAAUACCGGAUAAUAUAUUGAACCGCAUGGUUCAAUAGCGAAAGACGGUUUUGCUGUCACUUAUAGAUGGAUCCGCGCCGCAUUAGCUAGUUGGUAAGGUAACGGCUUACCAAGGCAACGAUGCGUAGCCGACCUGAGAGGGUGAUCGGCCACACUGGAACUGAGACACGGUCCAGACUCCUACGGGAGGCAGCAGUAGGGAAUCUUCCGCAAUGGGCGAAAGCCUGACGGAGCAACGCCGCGUGAGUAAUGAAGGUCUUCGGAUCGUAAAACUCUGUUAUUAGGGAAGAACAAAUGUGUAAGUAACUAUGCACGUCUUGACGGUACCUAAUCAGAAAGCCACGGCUAACUACGUG